rnacentral:rRNA from 1 species
ACGGCUCAGUAACACGUGGACAAUCUACCCAAAAGUCUGGGAUAACUCCGGGAAACUGGGGAUAAUACCGGAUAGAUCAUCAAUACUGGAAUUUGUUUGGUGGUUUAAAGUUCAGGCGCUUUUGGAUGGGUCUGCGGCUGAUUAGGUUGAUGCCGGUGUAACGUACCGGCAUGCCGAUAAUCAGUACGGGUUGUGGGAGCAAGAGCCCGGAGAUGGAUUCUGAGACACGAAUCCAGGCCCUACGGGGCGCAGCAGGCGCGAAAACUUUACAAUGCAGGCAACUGCGAUAAGGGAACAUCGAGUGAUACUCAUAAUGGGUGUCUGUCCCGCUGUCUAAAAACAGCGGUUAGCAAGGGCCGGGCAAGACCGGUGCCAGCCGCCGCGGUAAUACCGGCGGCUCGAGUGGUGGCCGAUAUUAUUGAGUCUAAAGGGUCCGUAGCCGGCUUUGCAAGUCUUGUGGGAAAUCCAGCGGCUUAACCGUUGGGCGUCCGCGAGAUACUACAUUGCUUGGGACUGGGAGAGGUAAGAGGUACUCAGGGGGUAGGAGUGAAAUCCUGUAAUCCUUUGGGGACCACCGGUGGCGAAGGCGUCUUACCAGAACAGGUCCGACGGUGAGGGACGAAAGCUAGGGGCACGAACCGGAUUAGAUACCCGGGUAGUCCUAGCCGUAAACGAUGCUCGCUAGGUGUCACAGCAGUCGUGAACUGCUGUGGUGCCGUAGGGAAGCCGUGAAGCGAGCCACUUGGGAAGUACGACCGCAAGGUUGAAACUUAAAGGAAUUGGCGGGGGAGCAC